rnacentral:rRNA from 1 species
GACGAACGUUGGCGGCGUGCUUAACACAUGCAAGUCGAACGGAAAGGCCCUGCUUUUGUGGGGUGCUCGAGUGGCGAACGGGUGAGUAACACGUGAGUAACCUGCCCUUGACUUUGGGAUAACUUCAGGAAACUGGGGCUAAUACCGGAUAGGAGCUCCUGCUGCAUGGUGGGGGUUGGAAAGUUUCGGCGGUUGGGGAUGGACUCGCGGCUUAUCAGCUUGUUGGUGGGGUAGUGGCUUACCAAGGCUUUGACGGGUAGCCGGCCUGAGAGGGUGACCGGCCACAUUGGGACUGAGAUACGGCCCAGACUCCUACGGGAGGCAGCAGUGGGGAAUAUUGCACAAUGGGCGGAAGCCUGAUGCAGCAACGCCGCGUGCGGGAUGACGGCCUUCGGGUUGUAAACCGCUUUCGCCUGUGACGAAGCGUGAGUGACGGUAAUGGGUAAAGAAGCACCGGCUAACUACGUGCCAGCAGCCGCGGUGAUACGUAGGGUGCGAGCGUUGUCCGGAUUUAUUGGGCGUAAAGGGCUCGUAGGUGGUUGAUCGCGUCGGAAGUGUAAUCUUGGGGCUUAACCCUGAGCGUGCUUUCGAUACGGGUUGACUUGAGGAAGGUAGGGGAGAAUGGAAUUCCUGGUGGAGCGGUGGAAUGCGCAGAUAUCAGGAGGAACACCAGUGGCGAAGGCGGUUCUCUGGGCCUUUCCUGACGCUGAGGAGCGAAAGCGUGGGGAGCGAACAGGCUUAGAUACCCUGGUAGUCCACGCUGUAAACGGUGGGUACUAGGUGUGGGGUCCAUUCCACGGGUUCCGUGCCGUAGCUAACGCUUUAAGUACCCCGCCUGGGGAGUACGGCCGCAAGGCUAAAACUCAAAGGAAUUGACGGGGCCCCGCACAAGCGGCGGAGCAUGCGGAUUAAUUCGAUGCAACGCGUAGAACCUUACCUGGGUUUGACAUGGAUCGGGAGUGCUCAGAGAUGGGUGUGCCUCUUUUGGGGUCGGUUCACAGGUGGUGCAUGGCUGUCGUCAGCUCGUGUCGUGAGAUGUUGGGUUAAGUCCCGCAACGAGCGCAACCCUUGUUCACUGUUGCCAGCACGUUAUGGUGGGGACUCAGUGGAGACCGCCGGGGUCAACUCGGAGGAAGGUGGGGAUGACGUCAAGUCAUCAUGCCCCUUAUGUCCAGGGCUUCACGCAUGCUACAAUGGCUGGUACAGAGAGUGGCGAGCCUGUGAGGGUGAGCGAAUCUCGGAAAGCCGGUCUCAGUUCGGAUUGGGGUCUGCAACUCGACCUCAUGGAGUCGGAGUCGCUAGUAAUCGCAGAUCAGCAACGCUGCGGUGAAUACGUUCCCGGGGCU